rnacentral:rRNA from 1 species
UAAGGAAUAUUGGUCAAUGGGCGGAAGCCUGAACCAGCCAUGCCGCGUGCAGGAUGACUGCCCUAUGGGUUGUAAACUGCUUUUGUCCAGGAAUAAACCUAGAUACGUGUAUCUAGCUGAAUGUACUGGAAGAAUAAGGAUCGG